CCCGCCUGGCUCGGUUUGAGCCGCGGCUACCGGCCGUGGCGCCGUCCGGAGCCCCCGGAAUGCGGGG